rnacentral:rRNA from 1 species
GGUGAGUAACACGUGAGUAACCUGCCCAUCACUCUGGGAUAAGCGCUGGAAACGGCGUCUAAUACUGGAUACGAGCAGCGACCGCAUGGUCAGCUGUUGGAAAGACUGGUUCGGUGAUGGAUGGACUCGCGGCCUAUCAGCUUGUUGGUGAGGUAAUGGCUCACCAAGGCGACGACGGGUAGCCGGCCUGAGAGGGUGACCGGCCACACUGGGACUGAGACACGGCCCAGACUCCUACGGGAGGCAGCAGUGGGGAAUAUUGCACAAUGGGCGCAAGCCUGAUGCAGCAACGCCGCGUGAGGGAUGACGGCCUUCGGGUUGUAAACCUCUUUUAGUAGGGAAGAAGCCUUCGGGUGACGGUACCUGCAGAAAAAGCACCGGCUAACUACGUGCCAGCAGCCGCGGUAAUACGUAGGGUGCAAGCGUUGUCCGGAAUUAUUGGGCGUAAAGAGCUCGUAGGCGGCUUGUCGCGUCUGCUGUGAAAACCCGAGGCUCAACCUCGGGCCUGCAGUGGGUACGGGCAAGCUAGAGUGCGGUAGGGGAGAUUGGAAUUCCUGGUGUAGCGGUGGAAUGCGCAGAUAUCAGGAGGAACACCGAUGGCGAAGGCAGAUCUCUGGGCCGUAACUGACGCUGAGGAGCGAAAGCAUGGGGAGCGAACAGGAUUAGAUACCCUGGUAGUCCAUGCCGUAAACGUUGGGAACUAGAUGUAGGGCCUGUUCCACGGGUUCUGUGUCGUAGCUA